GACGAACGCUGGCGGCGUGCCUAAUACAUGCAAGUAGAACGCACAGUUUAUACCGUAGCUUGCUACACCAUAGACUGUGAGUUGCGAACGGGUGAGUAACGCGUAGGUAACCUGCCUGGUAGCGGGGGAUAACUAUUGGAAACGAUAGCUAAUACCGCAUAAUAUUAAUUAUUGCAUGAUAAUUAAUUGAAAGGUGCAAUUGCACCACUACCAGAUGGACCUGCGUUGUAUUAGCUAGUAGGUGAGGUAACGGCUCACCUAGGCGACGAUACAUAGCCGACCUGAGAGGGUGAUCGGCCACACUGGGACUGAGACACGGCCCAGACUCCUACGGGAGGCAGCAGUAGGGAAUCUUCGGCAAUGGACGAAAGUCUGACCGAGCAACGCCGUGUGAGUGAAGAAGGUUUUCGGAUCGUAAAGCUCUGUUGUAAGAGAAGAACGGGUGUGAGAGUGGAAAGUUCACACUGUGACGGUAUCUUACCAGAAAGGGACGGCUAACUACGUG
rnacentral:rRNA from 1 species